rnacentral:rRNA from 1 species
UGCCUCGGCGGGGUCACGCCCCGGGUGCGUCGCAGCCCCGGAACCAGGCGCCCGCCGGAGGGACCAACCAAACUCUUUUCUGUAGUCCCCUCGCGGACGUUAUUUCUUACAGCUCUGAGCAAAAAUUCAAAAUGAAUCAAAACUUUCAACAACGGAUCUCUUGGUUCUGGCAUCGAUGAAGAACGCAGCGAAAUGCGAUAAGUAAUGUGAAUUGCAGAAUUCAGUGAAUCAUCGAAUCUUUGAACGCACAUUGCGCCCGCCAGUAUUCUGGCGGGCAUGCCUGUCCGAGCGUCAUUUCAACCCUCGAACCCCUCCGGGGGGUCGGCGUUGGGGAUCGGGAACCCCUAAGACGGGAUCCCGGCCCCGAAAUACAGUGGCGGUCUCGCCGCAGCCUCUCCUGCGCAGUAGUUUGCACAACUCGCACCGGGAGCGCGGCGCGUCCACGUCCGUAAAACACCCAACUUCUGAAAUGUUGACCUCGGAUCAGGUAGGAAUACCCGCUGAACUUAAGCAUAUCAAUAAGCGGAGGAAAAGAAACCAACGGG